AUUGAACGCUAGCGGGAUGCUUUACACAUGCGAGUCGAACGGCAGCGCGGACUUCGGUCUGGCGGCGAGUGGCGAACGGGUGAGUAAUGUAUCGGAACGUGCCCAGUAGCGGGGGAUAACUACGCGAAAGCGUAGCUAAUACCGCAUACGCCCUACGGGGGAAAGCAGGGGAUCGUAAGACCUUGCACUAUUGGAGCGGCCGAUAUCGAAUUAGCUAGUUGGUGAGGUAACGGCUCACCAAGGCGACGAUCCGUAGCUGGUUUGAGAGGACGACCAGCCACACUGGGACUGAGACACGGCCCAGACUCCUACGGGAGGCAGCAGUGGGGAAUUUUGGACAAUGGGGGCAACCCUGAUCCAGCCAUCCCGCGUGUGCGAUGAAGGCCUUCGGGUUGUAAAGCACUUUUGGCAGGAAAGAAACGUCGCGGGCUAAUACCCCGUGGAACUGACGGUACCUGCAGAAUAAGCACCGGCUAACUACGUG
rnacentral:rRNA from 1 species